rnacentral:tRNA from 3 species
UGGGCUAUCGCCAAAUGGUUAAGGCACAGCACUUUGACUGCUGCAUUUGCUGGUUCGAAUCCAGUUAGCCCAG